GGGGAAUCUUGCACAAUGGGGGAAACCCUGAUGCAGCGACGCCGCGUGAACGAUGAAGCCCUUCGGGGUGUAAAGUUCUUUCGACAGGAACGAUAAUGACGGUACCUGGAGAAGAAGCUGCGGCUAACUACGUGCUAGCAGCCGCGGUAAUACGUAGGCAGCGAGCGUUGUUCGGAGUUACUGGGCGUAAAGAGUGCGUAGGCGGCGAGCCAAGUUUGGUGUGAAAUCUCCCGGCUUAACCGGGAGGGUGCGCCGAAAACUGGUUGGCUGGAGUAGGGGAGAGGAAAGCGGAAUUCGUGGUGUAGCGGUGAAAUGCGUAGAUAUCAGGAGGAACACCUGCGGUGUAGACAGCUUUCUGGACCAAAACUGACGCUGAGGCACGAAAGCGUGG
rnacentral:rRNA from 1 species